rnacentral:sRNA from 1 species
CAAGUCCUCGAUUUCCGAAUCCGUUGUGGAAUGAAACACGGUUACGCCCCCAGUGACUUGCCGGUCAAAGCAAAGCGCAGCACCUACAACUACAGCCUCCCCAUCACCGUCAAGAAGACACCCAGCCAGCUUGUCACCAUGCAUGACCUGAAGCAGGGCCUGGGCCCAUCGGGGACAAGUGGUGCUCGGAAACCAGCUUCCAGCAAGUACAAGCUCAAGGUCAGCCUUCAGACACUGAGGGUGAGAACUCGGGUGCAAACCCCCAGGGCUGUGUGUGUUGGGGACAUCUGGCGAAGAGGUGGUGACAAGUCUCAGGGAAGUCUGGCACCAGCAGCUGCAUGUGGUUGUCCUUCUCGAGCCCUUUGGGAGCCUGGGCCCCCACUGAGCCACGUGACCACUCCGGGAAUGAUCGGAAUUGGGCACAGACAGGAGGACAGAGCCAGAGCAGGCCAUGUGGGCUGCAGCUGUGGCGGGAGCCUCACCGGCUCACGUUUCCGUCAGUGCGGUUGCCCAGUGGGCGUUGGCAGUUUCCAGAGCUGUUCCCACAUUCAGGCUCCCGCAAGCCGCUCCACAGUCCUGGGGGAGGCCGAGAAGGGGGCAUCCCGCACGGUGGAAUCACCUGC